GCCUAAAUAGUUAAGUUGGGAGAGCGUUACACUAUAAAUCGAAAGGUCCUUGGUUCGAUCCUGUUACAACUUUUGACU
rnacentral:tRNA from 1 species